rnacentral:rRNA from 1 species
GGCGACGAUCGGUAGCCGGACUGAGAGGUUGAACGGCCACAUUGGGACUGAGACACGGCCCAGACUCCUACGGGAGGCAGCAGUGGGGAAUAUUGCACAAUGGGGGAAACCCUGAUGCAGCGACGCCGCGUGGAGGAAGAAGGUCUUCGGAUUGUAAACUCCUGUUGUUGAGGAAGAUAAUGACGGUACUCAACAAGGAAGUGACGGCUAACUACGUGCCAGCAGCCGCGGUAAAACGUAGGUCACAAGCGUUGUCCGGAAUUACUGGGUGUAAAGGGAGCGCAGGCGGGAAGACAAGUUGGAAGUGAAAUCUAUGGGCUCAACCCAUAAACUGCUUUCAAAACUGUUUUUCUUGAGUAGUGCAGAGGUAGGCGGAAUUCCCGGUGUAGCGGUGGAAUGCGUAGAUAUCGGGAGGAACACCAGUGGCGAAGGCGGCCUACUGGGCACCAACUGACGCUGAGGCUCGAAAGUGUGGGUAGCAAACAGGAUUCGAUACCCUGGUAGUCCACACCGUAAACGAUGAUUACUAGGUGUGGGAGGAUUGACCCCUUCAGUGCCGCAGUUAACACAAUAAGUAAUCCACCUGGGGAGUACGACCGCAAGGUUGAAACUCAAAGGAAUUGACGGGGGCCCGCACAAGCAGUGGAGUAUGUGGUUUAAUUCGACGCAACGCGAAGAACCUUACCAAGUCUUGACAUCCCUUGACGAACAUAGAAAUAUGUUUUCUCUUCGGAGCAAGGAGACAGGUGGUGCAUGGUUGUCGUCAGCUCGUGUCGUGAGAUGUUGGGUUAAGUCCCGCAACGAGCGCAACCCUUAUGGUCAGUUACUACGCAAGAGGACUCUGGCCAGACUGCCGUUGACAAAACGGAGGAAGGUGGGGAUGACGUCAAAUCAUCAUGCCCUUUAUGACUUGGGCUACACACGUACUACAAUGGCGUUAAACAAAGAGAAGCAAGACCGCGAGGUGGAGCAAAACUCAGAAACAACGUCCCAGUUCGGACUGCAGGCUGCAACUCGCCUGCACGAAGUCGGAAUUGCUAGUAAUCGUGGAUCAGCAUGCCACGGUGAAUACGUUCCCGGGCCUUGCACU